CCUAUCUGCUAGACAUACUAAUCUUGGGGGCCUAAGACAGUACAAAAUUUUUCAAAAUUUUAUAUAACUUUUUUAUUCAAAAAUUUUUUUUUUUGAUACCUAAAGAUUUCCCUUCUUUUUAGUAAAAAAAUCAUUAAUUUUUUGAAUAAAAUUUCUAUAUUAAAAAAAAACAAAUUCCCGACCUAUAGAAUUUGUCCAUCCCAUUUUAUAUAGAAAUCGUAUAUUAAUCCCAAAAAUUUCGCUUUAUAAUUAAAAUUGCCCCCAGGGUAAAAUCUAUUUUAUCAACCCCCCUCACUUUUUCAAAAAAAAUUUUUUUUUUCGAUUUUUUUUGCAUUUUUUUUAAAGGGGGGGGUCAAAAAACUCCACUAAAAUCUGUGAAAAUCCAAAAAAUUUUAAUUUUUAAAAUUUUGGAUCAAAAUUACCCCUAAAAUGAAUUUUCCAUGAUUUUUUUUUUUUUUUUUUGAAAUUUAUUUUUUUCUAGACUCAUUAAUUAUACUUAUCAUAAUAACCCACUUAAUAGAUUUUACAUAAAUAUUAAAAAAAAAUAAUCAAAUAUAAGAAUUUGCCCUUAAAAUUAAAAAAAACCCGCAAUAUUAAUUUUCUAUUUAAAAUAAUAAUUUAAAAUAAUAAUCCUAAAUAAUUUGUAUCCCUAUAUAUAUUAUUUAUCAUAUAAUAAAUUUAUAUAUUAUUAUUUAAAGUAGUUUUUUUUUUUUUUUUUUAAUAUUUAUAAUUAUAUAAAAAUUAUUUUUAUUUAUAUUAUAAAAAUAAUUUAAAAAAGGAUAAGUAAAUAUUAUUAUAUAUUAAUAUAUACGAAAUAUAAAAUAAAUAAUAAUCAUUAUUGAAUUAUUUCUGCUAGUACAUAUCUAUUUCCUCUAUAUCAAAUAGAACUCUAUCAUAUUGACUAAUAAGAAUUUGAAGACAAAUAACUAAUAAGGUACUAACGAUCAUAUUGUUUUUAUGUUUCUUUAUUUUAUUUUUUUUUGUGAAAUUUUUUAUUAAUCUGAUCAUAAGAAAUUAAUAAAUAUAAAAAUUUCAAUAAAUUUAAUAUGUUAAUCUAAUUCAAUGUUAAUAUUUAUAUAGUUGCGCACUUUGAAACACUUUUUUUCAAUUUUUGACUGGUUCGACCUCAUGACCAAAUAAUUUUUUCCUACUAAAAUAUAAAAAAUUGACCUUACUACAAGAUAAAAAUCACUAAUGGAAAAUUUGCCUUUUGUCAAAAUCGCCCAUUGGCAUUUUUUAUUUUGUCCAAAUUUAUAAGUCUGUAAAAAUCAAUGGUACCGUGAAGUGCAAAACUUGAUAACUAAGGUUUUUCAUCCA